CCUUGGACAGCAAGUGGCCCUUGCAGGACAAGUACCUAUUGGGAAAAUUGCUCAAAACCUGCAAAUUCACUACCUGUGUCCAGAGCCACAGGAAAAUGCCAGCUUCCUGUGGUUCAAUGUGAGGAGAGAAAGUAUGAAGUCUCAGGCUGAUGUUUGCAGUUUGCCUUGGAGUCACACUCCGGAUGACGGGACCCAGAGAGAAGACGCAAUCUGGGCUGGGCUGGCGAUCGGGCCACAGGGUAUUGAAUACUUAAC